CCUACGGGAGGCAGCAGUGGGGAAUAUUGGACAAUGGGCGAAAGCCUGAUCCAGCAAUGCCGCGUGAGUGAUGAAGGCCUUAGGGUUGUAAAGCUCUUUUACCAGGGAUGAUAAUGACAGUACCUGGAGAAUAAGCUCCGGCUAACUCCGUGCCAGCAGCCGCGGUAAUACGGAGGGGGCUAGCGUUGUUCGGAAUUACUGGGCGUAAAGCGUACGUAGGCGGUUAUUCAAGUCAGAGGUGAAAGCCUGGAGCUCAACUCCAGAACUGCCUUUGAAACUAGAUAGCUAGAAUCUUGGAGAGGUGAGUGGAAUUCCGAGUGUAGAGGUGAAAUUCGUAGAUAUUCGGAAGAACACCAGUGGCGAAGGUGACUCACUGGACAAGUAUUGACGCUGAGGUACGAAAGCGUGGGGAGCAAACAGGAUUAGAUACCCUGGUAGUCCACGCCGUAAACGAUGAUAACUAGCUGUUCGGGCUCUACGAGCUUGAGUGGCGCAGCUACGCAUUAAGUUAUCCGUCCGUCGGGAGGUACGGUCGCGAAGAAUUAAACUACAAAUAGAAGUUAGUACGGACGUGAGACGUGCCGACGGACGACGACGAGGGAGGUUAGG
rnacentral:rRNA from 1 species